UUAUCGUAGUGAUAUGAUGGUGAGUGGGAUAUUGGUGAUCAAACGAGGUUAUAGAAGAAACUCUUUAAUUGCUUGCUUAAAAAAAAGUACUGAGAGAUAAAGUUUGAAGGUGACCAAUGGGCGGUUGUCCUCCUUGGUGAAUUUGUGUUUUUUUCAAAAUGACAGAGAAAAUGUUGGAACAGAGAAAACGUUGGAACCAAAGGGAUGCGCCGCUGUGGAUGUGUUUUGGAUUGACUUCGU
rnacentral:lncRNA from 1 species